CGGGUAAGCUGCUGCUGCCUUCAAUACCAACAGCCAUGCAUAGAAGUUAGUAAGUAAACAUGCCCAACUCUUAUGUAGUCAGAGCAAAUACUGAAUUAGCCAAUGAAGGGAUGGUGGUAAGUCUCCCCAGUAGGUGAGUAAGAAUGGAGGCGGGAAAUGGCUCCCCACCCUCGCUGUGCCCCAUCGACAAAUCAAGGGUGAAGUCGUUUAUUAUUAUUAUUAUUAUAGCAACAGGAAAAUGUAACUCAGAAGGCACCAAAAGAUCUAUAGGUGCAAAGACCAUCAAAUUACUUUUAACAUAAAAAUAAGUAAAAAUAUUUGAAUUGAACCGGAAUCAUAAAUGGAAGUCAAAAUCUCCCUCUGGCGGCAAUACUUAAUACAAUACUCAAAAGAAUUUGCUCUGAAUAUAAUACCAUUGUGUGCCCUGAACCAAGUUGCAGGCUUGUUGCAUACUGGACAUUUGGGGUUGACAUCCCAGGGUGCACUGGUGCAGUUGCAGGAGAAAGAGACUGAAUCUGAGAUUCUGAAAGAUCAUGCAGAGAAGAA
rnacentral:misc_RNA from 1 species